GGAGAGGAGUCAGGGUGUGUGAAUCACGUCAGCCCUUCAGACGAGGUGAAACGGAAAUAACAUAUUUGCAAGACAAUAACCACAACCACAUCUAUGACUAGAAAAUCCUAGAAAAUUCUGUGCUACGUAAUAUAAAACCUCUCAGGGUACAAUCCACCAACCUGGAAGUACUAUUGACUGAAUUAUGCUCAUAACUGAGGAUGAUGACCUACAGGCAAACUCUGCUAGUGACCAGGUUGUUCUUGCAGAGAUUUCGGAGUGAAAUCCUAGAUCAAAAAAGAAAAAAAGUUAAAUGAGCUUGAACAAAUGACAGCUAAGCUUUUCUUGUCAUUGACUGCUCCUGACUGCUGGGAAAAGAGCUGGAAGUUCUGAAAUAUCAAAGCAAAAUCUGUUCCUGCAAGAUUUCCAUCAGAGAGAGGAUUAACAGUCAACAAAUGAACAUCAGUGCAGUAUCUUUUGAAGUUUCUCCAUCUCUAUUGGUGAUGCUAUAGUGACUCUGUUGUUCCUGGUCUUCUCUUUCUAAAGUCUAUUUGCUUUUUUUUUUUUUUUUUUUCUUUUGGGACAUUUAAUGUAAGUUACUGUAUUUGAAUUUCUGACUCAUCCUCUGUUGUCUGGUUCUGCGUACUGAAAAGUAUCAUUAUAUUCAAAGAGAACUGGUAACUGAAAUUAUAUAGGCUGUCAAUGUUCUCAUUCAGACUUCUCUUCAGCAUUAGAAUUCUGUGUGGUGUUGCAUGCUGUUAGUUGAAGAUUUAUUCUUGAACUUUUUAUUUUCACAAUUCCUUAUUAUCUAAUAACUAUACAGAAAUGUUAAUAGUCUUAUGACUAAACAGGUCAAUAUUCAUAUGAAUAUAUAUUUUUACUUGUUUAAUCUCAAUGAAAUAGCCUAGUAGAAAUUUAACACAUUUAAAACAUUCAAAUAAAAGCUUUUUUUACCCAAUCACAACAACAGCAACAACAAAAACAACAACAAAAACUCUAAUGCUCUUUUUUUGCACUGAAAAAAUCACCAACAUUAGAGUAACUUACAAUGAUAAAUCUCAAAAGACUUAUAUUCUUUAACUCAAGUUGAGACCAUUUGCUUAUUAUACAGGUUCACUGACCCAAAUCUUCUUCAUUCUACAUUAGAGAACUUGACCUGAGAUUUUCUUCUCCCUUCUCCCAGAUAUCACAUAAUGUUAUUUUUGCAUUUUCUGUUGCUGUAAAUAUUUAAUUAGCUACACAAAGUGAAACUAUUCCAAGAAGGAUGACAAAUUCACACUUAAAGUCAUUUGCAAUUGAAAGCUUUUGUAUGCACUGUAAAAUAAAGAUUCUGAACCCAUUUUUUCUUUUAUUUGAAGAAAGAUCUUUGACUUAUGAUUUCUUAACUAUUAAGAGGAAAUCUGUGCUUUGUCUAGCCUCUGCUCUGUUUUCUAGAAAAAUCAGAAAAGUCCUAUUUGUGUCUAGUGUUUAUGGACAUUACCUGCCCAUUUCUUGCUCCUGGCUGAGUUCCAUACAGCCACUAGAAAUCUGAUUUAGCAGGCAAUAUAAGCAUGCUGAAUCACACUAAGCAGUUCAAAAUAAUGUGAUUAAUCUGUUUGUUUCAUUUACCGCAUUCAGAUUUAUGUAGAAACUGGUGAGAGAAGCCCAGGAUCUUAUCAUCUAACAAUUAAACUAAUCUUGCAGUAUAUUUUAUAAUGUGACUCUAGGAUAAACCCCUACCAAAAUUGGCUUU
ensembl:lncRNA